UCACCCUAUCUGUUAUUUCUCUAAAAAGUUCUUAAAACAUCAACUGAACUAUAGUACCAUCGAGAAGGAGGCACUAGCCUUGUUGUUGUCACUUCAGCAGUUUGAGGUCUACAUUGGCUGUACCGCUGCACCUGUAGUGGUACAUACAGAUCAUAACCCUUUGAUUUUUCUCUCCAGAAUGAAAAACACCAAUCAGCGCAUUAUGCGUUGGUCUCUCUACUUGCAGGGCUUCAACCUGGAGAUAAGACCGUCCCGUGGGCAAACUGCAGCUAAUUGCCAGGGCGCCGUGAUUGGGGCGUCCGCCCUUUAAAAGUGGGAUCCUACGUCAGAGAAGGAGGGUUCUAGGUUCUUCGUUCUCCGUCACGUUCUUUGGCUGCCACCUUGCCAUGUUCCACCGCGCUGCUGCUCCGCCCUGCGUUUUUGGCUGUGCCGCCGCUCCUGCCUGUUCUCCCGAGUGAGAGUCGGGAAAAGCCUGGGGAUCGGCUUGGCCUUUUUGCGGCCUAUUCUUUGGACUACCUUACUUUUUUCGUUCCAGUAUAUUUUUCUUAUUAUUAUAUUUUUGUCAAUAAACACUUUUUAAUUUAGUUGCUUCGUU